GGCUGGAUCACCUCCUAACAGGGAGACAAUACCUGAUCGUGAUGUCUGAGUAAUUUAAUCUCAGGCCAUGAUCCUGUCAUCUCGAAGGUCGAUCGGUACCUCAACUUGAGCGUAAGAGAAGAGCUGAGCAAUCAGUUUGGAGACUUGCAAUCAACUUCAGUUCCUAAACUUUGUCUAGGUCACCCCACAGCGGGUUACAACUCCUGGGCCAUUAGCUCAGGUGGUUAGAGCGCACCCCUGAUAAGGGUGAGGUCCCUGGUUCAAGUCCAGGAUGGCCCAUUCGUGUUUGGGGGUUUAGCUCAGUUGGUAGAGCGCCUGCUUUGCAAGCAGGAUGUCAGCGGUUCGAGUCCGCUAACCUCCAUCCAAUUGCUGAUGCUCUUCCCUCGGACCAUGCAUGCUUGAGAAAGCGUGUGAGGUAAGGAGUUCUGCUGUUGUGUUGAUCUAGUAUGUUGUUCGCUGAAGAUUUCAGCUUCUUUUCAUUCUUGACUACCAAGUUAAGUUGAAAAGACGCUGGAUUCAAUGCUGCCCUGGCAACAGGGCUGUUUGAAUGUCAGCAGAACCUUGACAACUGCAUAGUUGAAGUCUGGAAAUAAAGCAUCUCAUGGAUGCUUGAUUCUAGUUUGCGUCAAAUCCAGAAAUGGAUAGGAUGACAAAGUUGAAUCAAGAAAAUUCUAUUGAGUUUUAGAGCCGAGAGCUUCCAGUUUUCUUCUGAGCCCGCCGAGGGUUUGGGAGUUUGAUCCUGGCAUUCAAACCACAGUUUAGUUCAUGAGCAAUUGUGAUCAAGAGUGUA
rnacentral:tRNA from 1 species